rnacentral:rRNA from 1 species
UACGUAGGGCGCAAGCGUUAUCCGGAAUUAUUGGGCGUAAAGAGCUCGUAGGCGGUUUGUCGCGUCUGCCGUGAAAGUCCGGGGCUCAACUCCGGAUCUGCGGUGGGUACGGGCAGACUAGAGUGAUGUAGGGGAGACUGGAAUUCCUGGUGUAGCGGUGAAAUGCGCAGAUAUCAGGAGGAACACCGGUGGCGAAGGCGGGUCUCUGGGCCGUAACUGACGCUGAGGAGCGAAGCGUGGGGAGCGAACAGG